AUAUAGGCAAGUGUAAUAAAAACCGAAUCAAAUGUUAUAGUCAGACAAAACAGAAAGUACAUCACAUUACUUCAGGUGCAAGAUGUUGGAAUGGGGAACUGUGGGGGGAGUGCAGUGAGGCCACAUUGACAUUUUAUUCUAUUUAUGAUCAUUAAAAAUGCAAGUAUCACACAGGCAGCACAUAGACACUCAAGUACAAAAGAAAGACUGAUAUUAAAUAAUUGAUAAAACAUUGCUAAAUUAGUGCCCGAUAUUAAGAGGGCUGGAUGAGAAUGGCUGCACAAUAAUAAAAAAAAUGCUUUGUGACAAAUUAAUUAAACAAAUUAACAAAUCUUACUGAUUCAGAGAAUUUACAUAGUAUUCAUUACCUAUUCCAGUGGUUCUGUGUCUCCAUUAAUGGUUUGAUGUUUAUACAACAGUUCUCUUGUACAUACUUAAGUGAUUGUUCAUUUGGACACAUUGUUUUUUGACCUUUCCACACCUGGUAGUCUCUAACUUGAUUCUUAGUUCCAAUGUAGCAGGGAUAUAAAGUAAUGUUGCAAUUAAUUUACCAUAUUUAAACACAAUCUUUCCCAUUGUUCUUUAAUAAAUUGUAUAAAAAAAAAAAAGUAAUGCACCAUGAUGAAUAACAAAAGCCAACAAAACAAAGGAACUGAAAACUGAUGUGUGGAUUACAGCUUAUACAACAAAACAAUGAGAAAUGUUAUUCCAAACAGAUCAGAGAAUAAACAAGCAGGUCAUCCAUGUGCUCAGUCAAAGCACAUAUUAGACCAAAGAAAAAAAAUGUGACAAAGGUGCCUUAUAAAAUGUGACGAAGGUGCAACAAGGCACAAGCAAAAACACUUUUUUUUUAUGUUCUAUUUAAAGUUGGCAGGUAGCAGAUCAAUAUUUCCCCAGCCCUUCAGUCGGCCUCUUAAUGAUUAGAGCAGUUACCUCCCAUAUAGGAAGUCCCCACUAGAAGGUUGAAGGAAGCACAAACAAAACAAUUUGCAUAGCAGAGCACCACAUAGACAACAAGUGAAUGUCAGAAGCAUGAACAAGUAUGUAAGUAGGUCAAGUCAUUUGCUGUAUUCAAAAACAAAGUUUUGAUGUCUAACAAGCCAGUUGUCUCACUAAACCUACAUCAUAUUAACAUACAAAAAAAAAUGGGGGGGGGGGGGGGGGGGU